rnacentral:lncRNA from 1 species
CAUCAAGGACAAACUGAAGGUGGACAAGUCCAAAUAGGUCAGGAUAAUUGACCAAAACAGCUCAAAGGGGUUAAAGCAAAAGAGAGCCAGGAGUCAGGAAGGUGAGCUAACUCAAGACCAGGUCAUUGCAGGCACUGGGGAGGGGUAGAGACAUAGGUGACCUGAUUCCGGGAGAGGCACUACUGAUGCUCUGGCCUCCUCGAGGCCACUUCCUGCAGGCCUUACGUGUGUGCGGUAAGCCUUGGCAGUCAGAAAGGGCCACCUGCUGUUAUACAGUGACUCCAAUGGGGGCAGGAAUAGCAGAGCUCAGAUGAGGAGGUUCUCUUAAGGCAGGCCUUCUAGCUUUUUCUAAAGCAGCCCUUCCUUCACAUAUCCCAGAAGAAAGAGAAGAUGGAACAUCUCUGACUUUUCUCACCAAAAAAGGUCUUUCUUCUUUGCUCCCCGCAGGACCUCUCACAGCUUUUAGCAAGCCUAUUUUUGCAUUGUGAAUCUCCAAGAGGGGAUGCCGUAUACAGCCCUUCCAAAAAGCAUUUGACCACAGAGCACUCCUUCAUUAGCGGAAUCGGACACUGCUCACCUCUGUCAAAGAUCCAGGCCAUUUUCUCCCUACCCCAUGAGUCAGCUCCUUGCUCCAGCCUGUGGCCUCUCCGGUGGCAGGCCACUAUCUACAGGGAAUAAAUAGAGCUCCUCAGUCCAUCACAGUGAGGAACCUCGGACUGAUUCCUCUUACUCUCUAAUUCAUCCAAGGGAGGAGGAAGGAGACGCCUCACUUAGCGAACAAUCUCAUUUGGAGGGACUCUGUUUUAGCAACAGGAAGCAAAUCACAUUAGAGAAAUCAUCACCCUCCUGUAGCUCCAAACUGAAACUGAUCUCCUUCUUGACCUUUUGUCUGGAACAUACACUCUGUGGAAAAUGUGGUUCAAGGAGGGAGGGUGUAGGGCUCUGUGUGUGUGUGUCUGGUAUGUU